AGAGCGAACGCUGGCGGCAGGCCUAACACAUGCAAGUCGAACGGACCCUUCGGGGUUAGUGGCGGACGGGUGAGUAACACGUGGGAACGUGCCUUUUGGUUCGGAAUAGCUCCUGGAAACGGGUGGUAAUGCCGAAUGUGCCCUUCGGGGGAAAGAUUUAUCGCCAUUAGAGCGGCCCGCGUCUGAUUAGCUAGUUGGUAAGGUAAUGGCUUACCAAGGCGACGAUCAGUAGCUGGUCUGAGAGGAUGACCAGCCACAUUGGGACUGAGACACGGCCCAAACUCCUACGGGAGGCAGCAGUGGGGAAUCUUGCGCAAUGGGCGAAAGCCUGACGCAGCCAUGCCGCGUGAAUGAUGAAGGUCUUAGGAUUGUAAAAUUCUUUCACCGGGACGAUAAUGACGGUACCCGGAGAAGAACGCCCGGCUAACUUCGUGCCAGCAACCGC
rnacentral:rRNA from 1 species